UCCGGUUGAUCCUGCCGGACCUGACUGCUAUCGGAUUGGUACUAAGCCAUGCGAGUCAUUGUAGCAAUACAAGGCGGACGGCUCAGUAACGCGUAGUCAACCUAACUCGUGGACGUGGAUAACCUCGGGAAACUGAGAAUAAACCACGAUAGAUCAUAGUGCCUGGAAUGGCUUAUGGUCCAAACAGUUUACUGCCAUGGGAUGGGACUGCGGCCUAUCAGCUUGUUGGUGAGGUAAUGGCCCACCAAGGCGAUUACAGGUACGGGCUCUGAGAGGAGUAGCCCGGAGAUGGGUACUGAGACACGGACCCAGGCCCUAUGGGGCGCAGCAGGCGAGAAACCUUAGCAAUGUGCGAAAGCACGACUGGGUCAGUCCGAGUGAUUCCUGAUAAAGGAGUCUUUUGCCUGUCCUAAAAGCACAGGUGAAUAAGGGGUGGGCAAGUCUGGUGUCAGCCGCCGCGGUAAUACCAGCACCUCGAGUGGUCAGGACGUUUAUUGGGCCUAAAGCAUCCGUAGCCGGCUCUGCAAGUCUUCGGUUAAAUCCACCUGCUCAACAGAUGGGCCGCUGGAGAUACUACAGAGCUAGGGAGUGGGAGAGGCAGACGGUAUUCAGUGGGUAGGGGUAAAAUCCUCUGAUCCAUUGAGGACCACCAGUGGCGAAGGCGGUCUGCCAGAACACGUUCGACGGUGAGGGAUGAAAGCUGGGGGAGCAAACCGGAUUAGAUACCCGGGUAGUCCCAGCUGUAAACGAUGCAAACUCGGUGAUGCAUUGGCUUAUGGCCAAUGCAGUGCCGCAGGGAAGCCGUUAAGUUUGCCGCCUGGGAAGUACGGACGCAAGUCUGAAACUUAAAGGAAUUGGCGGGGGAGCACCACAAGGGUGAAGCCUGCGGUUCAAUUGGAGUCAACGCCG
rnacentral:rRNA from 1 species